UUUGAGCCGUUGGAUCUCAUCCAGCUGUUGGGAUUUUAAAGGAGAACUCGCGGGUAAAAAUAGCCCAUGGGUCGGGUAAAAUAGUUUUCGGGUCAUACCAUUUUACACAUGCGGAUCCCUCCUAUUGCUUCCACGGUACGCCUCCUCCCCCAUUUCUCAAAAAUUGAACCCAUAGAGAGAACGAGAAAAGGAAUCAGCGACGACGAUCGAUCGACUGGAGAAGAAGAAAAACAAACACGAACAAGAUCGACGAAUAAGAGCGACGAAGAAGAAGAGGACAAUGUCGACGAAGAGAACGAUUGAAGGGCUUGAUCACAGAGGAUUAGGGCUCGAUUACAAAAGAUUAUGGCUCGAUUACUGCUCGAUUUGAAGGUCUCUCUCUCUCUCUCUCUGAAUCUGUUCCAAUCUGGUUUUUCUUUGCUCAUGUUUAGCGAGGUUUAGCAAAAUGUGGUAAAACCAUCCGUUAACUAGCGUGGAAAUUGUGGUUUCACUUGCUUGUGUCUUUGACAAUGCAUAAAAUGAUGGGGUGUUGAAGUUACGAGUAGAUGAAAAUUUGGAAGUUAUAAGUGAAAGUUGACGGUAAGCCCAACUGUUGAUGCAUUAUUAUUGAUGUAUGUUCUUGAUAUGUAGAUGCCUCUUCAUUUUGAUAUCUCAUCCCUGGUUUACAGCUUUCUUGAAAGGAAAUGUGCUAAAGAUCAAGUCAAUGCUAAAUCCUUUGUUGAUAAGAUUGUUGUUGAUAGUCCAAUCCUUCCACUCUUUGUGUUCUUGCCGUCCAUGAGCCAGUUUAAUUUGGAAUGAAAUUGUGCCUGUUAAAGUAGUUUAGUACCUUCAAUAUGGUCUAUAAAUGGAGGGUUAAUUGGGUAUUGUGGCCGCAAAGGCGUGUACGGUAGAGGAAUGAGGAAAGCAUUGGGCAUUGGCAGUAUGGUACCAGUAAGAAGCUUGAAAUUCAUUGAUUGCCUAACUGUGAGUGGUUUAGUUGGAAAGCGAUGGAAGAAAACAAUACACGAUAUAUAGUUUGUUUCGACAACUCUGGUCACAACAAGGUGCUUGUAAGCUGGUUUGGACAUCAAGUUAUAAAAAUAAAAUAAAAUAACAGAAAAGAAAAGAAAAAAAACCAUGGGUCACAAUGUGCCGUUUAUGAUGAUUAGGUUUUCCAAGACACAGCAUUGACGAGGACACAGUUUGAACUUUUGAGAAAGAGAGUAUUUUAUUUGUAGUUUCUUUUAUUUUGUUUUCUUGUGGGAAUGUAGUGCGUGGGCAACUGCUACUGGUUGUUGCAUUAUGUUUAUUGUUUGAUGCAAAAAUGGAAAAGAUGUGGGAAUGAUUUGCAUUAGAAUGUGAAGUUUGACUUUCUAUGUUUCUAGAAUUUGAAGUUUUGAUUUUAAGCUUAAGCAGGUGCAUUUGACGCUAAAUCUUGAAUGGCCUUCCAUCUUG